GACGAACGCUGGCGGCGUGCCUAAUACAUGCAAGUCGAACGAACUCUGGUAUUGAUUGGUGCUUGCAUCAUGAUUUACAUUUGAGUGAGUGGCGAACUGGUGAGUAACACGUGGGAAACCUGCCCAGAAGCGGGGGAUAACACCUGGAAACAGAUGCUAAUACCGCAUAACAACUUGGACCGCAUGGUCCGAGUUUGAAAGAUGGCUUCGGCUAUCACUUUUGGAUGGUCCCGCGGCGUAUUAGCUAGAUGGUGGGGUAACGGCUCACCAUGGCAAUGAUACGUAGCCGACCUGAGAGGGUAAUCGGCCACAUUGGGACUGAGACACGGCCCAAACUCCUACGGGAGGCAGCAGUAGGGAAUCUUCCACAAUGGACGAAAGUCUGAUGGAGCAACGCCGCGUGAGUGAAGAAGGGUUUCGGCUCGUAAAACUCUGUUGUUAAAGAAGAACAUAUCUGAGAGUAACUGUUCAGGUAUUGACGGUAUUUAACCAGAAAGCCACGGCUAACUACGUGCCAGCAGCCGCGGUAAUACGUAGGUGGCAAGCGUUGUCCGGAUUUAUUGGGCGUAAAGCGAGCGCAGGCGGUUUUUUAAGUCUGAUGUGAAAGCCUUCGGCUCAACCGAAGAAGUGCAUCGGAAACUGGGAAACUUGAGUGCAGAAGAGGACAGCGGAACUUCCAUGUGUAGCGGUGAAAUGCGUAGAUAUAUGGAAGAACACCAGUGGCGAAGGCGGCUGUCUGGUCUGUAACUGACGCUGAGGCUCGAAAGUAUGGGUAGCAAACAGGAUUAGAUACCCUGGUAGUCCAUACCGUAAACGAUGAAUGCUAAGUGUUGGAGGGUUUCCGCCCUUCAGUGCUGCAGCUAACGCAUUAAGCAUUCCGCCUGGGGAGUACGGCCGCAAGGCUGAAACUCAAAGGAAUUGACGGGGGCCCGCACAAGCGGUGGAGCAUGUGGUUUAAUUCGAAGCUACGCGAAGAACCUUACCAGGUCUUGACAUACUAUGCAAAUCUAAGAGAUUAGACGUUCCCUUCGGGGACAUGGAUACAGGUGGUGCAUGGUUGUCGUCAGCUCGUGUCGUGAGAUGUUAGGUUAAGUCCCGCAACGAGCGCAACCCUUAUUAUCAGUUGCCAGCAUUAAGUUGGGCACUCUGGUGAGACUGCCGGUGACAAACCGGAGGAAGGUGGGGAUGACGUCAAAUCAUCAUGCCCCUUAUGACCUGGGCUACACACGUGCUACAAUGGAUGGUACAACGAGUUGCGAACUCGCGAGAGUAAGCUAAUCUCUUAAAGCCAUUCUCAGUUCGGAUUGUAGGCUGCAACUCGCCUACAUGAAGUCGGAAUCGCUAGUAAUCGCGGAUCAGCAUGCCGCGGUGAAUACGUUCCCGGGCCUUGUACACACCGCCCGUCACACCAUGAGAGUUUGUAACACCCAAAGUCGGUGGGGUAACCUUUUAGGAACCAGCCGCCUAAGGUGGGACAGAUGAUUAGGGUG
rnacentral:rRNA from 1 species